rnacentral:rRNA from 1 species
UCAUUUGCCUUAUAAUUGAAGGCUUGUAUGAAUGGUUUGACAAGAAUAUAGCUGUCUCUUUAUAAUUAAAUAGAAUUUUAUUUAUAGGUGAAGAAGCCUAUAUAAUAUUGAAAGACAAGAAGACCCUAUCGAGCUUGAAAGAAAUUAAUAAAUUCUGUAUAUUUAAUAUAAUUUAAAAAAUUAAUUAUUAAAAAUUUUGGUUGGGGCGACUAAGGAACAAACAAAGCUUCCUUUAUUUUAGUAAUACAACCAAGUAAGGAUCCAAAAACUUUGAUUAAAGGAAUUAGUUACCGUAGGGAUAACAGCAUUAUCUUUUUUGAGAGCUCUAAUCGAAAAAAAGGUUUGUGACCUCGAUGUUGGACCAGAAUAUCCUGAAGAUGCAGCCGUCUUUAAGGGUUGGUCUGUUCGACCAUUAAAAUUCUACGUGAUCUGAGUUCAGACCGGCGUGAGCCAGGUCAGUUUCUAUCUUCAAUUUUUAUAAUAAGUUUAGUACGAAAGGACCAAUUUAUUACA